rnacentral:rRNA from 1 species
CAGUCGCCGCGGUAAUACGUAGGGUGCAAGCGUUAAUCGGAAUUACUGGGCGUAAAGCGUGCGCAGGCGGUUCUAUAAGACAGAUGUGAAAUCCCCGGGCUCAACCUGGGAACUGCAUUUGUGACUGUAGAGCUGGAGUGCGGCAGAGGGGGAUGGAAUUCCGCGUGUAGCAGUGAAAUGCGUAGAUAUGCGGAGGAACACCGAUGGCGAAGGCAAUCCCCUGGGCCUGCACUGACGCUCAUGCACGAAAGCGUGGGGAGCAAACAGGAUUAGAUACCCGCGUAGUCCCUGUCUCUUAUAC